UUGGGCACUGAGUUGGUGCCUCAGCACUUGGAUCUGUGUCAUAUGAUUUGAUCUUCUUUUCAGUGUUCUCCUAUUUGUCCCUGUCCAUGUGCUGUUUUUUCUGACACUAUUUUUUUUCUCCUUGUGUCAUUUUAUGACAGUGUUUCUCCAUGAUGUGCUUGUUAAAAGAGGUGAAAUAUCUGGAAAAAAAUAGACUUUUUGUGAGAAUAAAAAAAAAAAAAAAAAGCAACUGACCAAUAAGAAAGGAGAAAAGUUCUUGUGCUUGUCUUGCCUGGAGUGCUGGCCUUGCUGGACUCAACCCAUUUUCCAUCCAGUGGAUUAAAACUGAGACCCAAAACACCAGCGAGGAGAAAACCAGAAUGUUUCCACCGUCAAAGGUCUCUUGGAGUUGUUGAAAGAAGGCUGGAACAGUCCUGGUUUUUGGACUUGCUUUUCUUAAGGUAUUUUUCUUCCUAUCUGAUUUCCAAAGAGGAGCCUGAUUUUCAUUUUAC
rnacentral:lncRNA from 1 species